rnacentral:misc_RNA from 1 species
UUUUUGAUUCAUGACUGGGGUGAAGUCGUAACAAGGUAACCGUAGGGGAACCUGCGGUUGGAUCACCUCCUUACCUAAGCGAUACGUUGAGUGACGUGUCCACACAGAUUGUCUGAUAAUUGUCACGAGCAAGAAAAACCUGCUAUAGGCUUGUAGCUCAGGUGGUUAGAGCGCACCCCUGAUAAGGGUGAGGUCGGUGGUUCAAGUCCACUCAGGCCUACCAGUUCUGCUUAUUUCCGUGGGUUCCCGUGAUGAGGAGGACAGCAUGUUGCCGACAGGCGGCAUGAGAGGCUGUGCGUCAGGGGGGCGAAGAAGGCGAGACUGGCUGUCGUACUGUAACGUCGCGGUGCGGUAUCGGGUU